GCACCGUCUUAGCUGAGUGACUUUACUUUCUCAGCCUUUCUCAGUAACAUCACCAGUAAAAUAGAGAAAGUAGACUUGAUCUUCUCUCCGAGCUUUAGCAUCUUUAACAUGCUCCAAUUCAAGUUGAUGAAAUAUCAAGAGAAGAUUUGAUUAGCAGAGUUUCCACAAUAAAUUUAUAUCAUCCUCUUUCCUGUACAUUGCACAUCUUCUAUUGAGAGACCACUGCCUAAGGAUAUGGGGAAAGUGGAACAUAAUGUUUAAAACUAAUCUUUGACUUAGAAGGGUCUGACACUGUGGUUUGGGACGAGGACACAUGCAUGAAACUGUCACACAAAGCAAGCAAUGCUGAAUACCUAGUAUGGAACGCAAACACUACACAGCUUUCACAAGAAAGUUCCAAGAUUUAGGGCAGAAGGAAUCCUCAAGGAAGAGGUAAAGCUUUAGCCUAAUCUCUGAAGAAGAAGUGCGGCCCUGCUCCCUUGCUGUUUCCAUGGUACGAUCUGGACUGCAUCCAGCAGAGGACCGACUGCCUGACAGGACUAAAAGGACACAAUGUAGUCUCUGAUGCACUUGUCAAGUGCCGGUCAGUGGUGAAGGUCCAUGUACUUUUUCUGGGUUUACAGGAAGAAGUUACCUUAUCUCCCAAUUUCCCAUCCAGUUUCUGGCAAACUCAGCACCUACUACUGUUCCAAAAGUGCAUUUGCGCUACAGGUGUGGUGAUCAUCAAGCCUGAUGGCCAGCUGCUUAGAGUCAUGGACAAUUCAAGCUCCUUCUUUUACAGACACGGAAAGCAAAACCCAGAGAGCUAUAUGAUUUUCCAAAACUAGACAGCUGUCUCGAAUCUUCCUGCUUUCUUUAGAGGCUGAGGGCGGGGGCAGUGCUCAGCAAAUCUUUCUGGGUUCUACAGCUAUUACGUAGCUCCUAAGUGACAAUUGAAGCUAAGCUGGCAGAGCUAGAGGGUGGAGCAGUGCAUUCAGCUUUGGUUUUCAGAUGUCAUAGGAGUGAAAGCGUCUCAGUUGAAAGAAAACCUGUUCAAUUUAAGCGUUAGUCUCCUUCUAGGGAGGCACAAUCUAGACUGCAAAAGUGAGGAAAUGCCACGCCAGUGUAGACUGUUGCUGUGGGCAGCAGUGUGAGGUAGAAUGUUGAAAAACACAGAGCCAAAUGAGUCCGCUUGGUAUUGUCCCAGCUCACUCGGGGACAGUCUCCGCACAUUCCCUCUUCUCCCUCUAAGACUCCUCUAGAAUAUUUCCCCACAUUCCUGGAUGGGCUCGCUGUCUUCUCCUUCAUCUUCCUCAGUUGUUUUUCUUGUAUAAUAGUUCCUUUCUGGACAUCUCAGAUUUGCACCUCUGCUUUUAAUUGUGUGCUGUGUAUCUCUCUUACAGCAUAUAAUAUGUUUGUACUGUACAGAAUAUUUAUAUGUGAUAGAAAUAGAGAUGGAGAUAGACAGAGAGAGAGAGAGAGGUAGAUCCAGAGUGUGAAGAAUAUCUUGUUUCAGUCCUCUGUAUCUGCAGCUGUUGUCAGUUACGAAAAUAAUUAGAAUGAAUGGGUUGGUUGUGUCAUGGACAGAUUUGGGACAUGAGAGAAAUCUUCUGCUAUCCUGGAUCUCGUGUCCACCUCCCACCACUCCAGUUAAAGAGAGGGGAUACUAAAAUUAUUUCCCCACAUAAGUGCCAUGAGGAGUAAUGGACAAAGGUCAUGUACCUCCAGAUGGAAAGAAACUAGAAUCUAUUCAACUCCAGAGGUGUUCACAACCUUAAAGUCCUACUCAUCAUACUAUGUAUUCUACAUGAAUCAACCAAGCUGUCAAAAUCCCUUGUUGAGAAACAAC
ensembl:lincRNA